AUUACCCCAAACCGACUCAGGUGGUCAGGUAGAGAAUACCAAGGAGAUCGAGAGAAUCGUGGUUAAGGAACUCGGCAAAAUGCCCCCGUAACUUCGGGAAAAGGGGGGCCUGAGGCGUGAAGGGAUUUACUCCUGGAGCGUUUGAAGGCCGCAGAGACCAGUGGGAAGCGACUGAUUACUAAAAACACAGGUCCGUGCUAAGUCGCAAGACGAUGUAUACGGACUGACGCCUGCCCGGUGCUGGAAGGUUAAGAGGAACGGUUAGCCGCAAGGCGAAGCUGAGAAUUUAAGCCCCAGUAAACGGCGGUGGUAACUAUAACCAUCCUAAGGUAGCGAAAUUCCUUGUCGGGUAAGUUCCGACCUGCACGAAUGGCGUAACGACUUCCCAGCUGUCUCAACCGCGAACUCGGCGAAAUUGCACUACGAGUAAAGAUGCUCGUUACGCGCAGAAGGACGGAAAGACCCCGUGACCUUUACUAUAGCUUUGUAUUGGUGUUCGGUGUGGCUUGUGUAGGAUAGGUGGGAGACUGUGAAGCUUGGACGCUAGUUCAGGUGGAGUCAUUGUUGAAAUACCACUCUGGUCACUCUGGAUAUCUAACUUCGGACCGUAAUCCGGUUCAGGGACAGUGCAUGGUGGGUAGUUUAACUGGGGCGGUUGCCUCCCAAAAAGUAACGGAGGCGCCCAAAGGUUCCCUCAACCUGGUUGGCAAUCAGGUGUCGAGUGUAAGUGCACAAGGGAGCUUGACUGUGAGAGUGACAACUCGAGCAGGGACGAAAGUCGGGACUAGUGAUCCGGCAGUGGCUUGUGGAAGCGCUGUCGCUCAACGGAUAAAAGGUACCUCGGGGAUAACAGGCUGAUCUUGCCCAAGAGUCCAUAUCGACGGCAUGGUUUGGCACCUCGAUGUCGGCUCGUCGCAUCCUGGGGCUGGAGUAGGUCCCAAGGGUUGGGCUGUUCGCCCAUUAAAGCGGUACGCGAGCUGGGUUUAGAACGUCGUGAGACAGUUCGGUCCCUAUCCUCUGCGCGCGCAGGAAAUUUGAGAAGAGCUAUCCCUAGUACGAGAGGACCGGGAUGGACGAACCUCUGGUGUGUCAGUUGUUCCGCCAGGAGCACCGCUGAUUAGCUACGUUCGGAACGGAUAACCGCUGAAAGCAUCUAAGCGGGAAGCCGGCUUCAAGAUGAGAUUUCCAUGACUUCGGUCGAGAGGCUCCCAGCUAGACUACUGGGUUGAUAGGCGGGAUGUGGAAGCGAGGACUAAAGACUCGUGGAGCUGACCCGUACUAAUAAGCCGAUAAAUUGACAAA
rnacentral:rRNA from 1 species